rnacentral:ncRNA from 2 species
CUCUUAUCCCGAGUAGGUGGAGGGAUACAGGCCCUACGAAGCCCAGCAACCUCACUUUUAGUGAAAGGUGCUGAACCUGAUGCAAGACUAUUUUUUAUGUCUUGGACGAUAAGAG